rnacentral:rRNA from 1 species
UACAGAGGGUGCAAGCGUUAAUCGGAGUUACUGGGCGUAAAGGGCGCGUAGGUGGUUUAGUAAGUGAGAUGUGAAAGCCCUGGGCUUAACCUAGGAACUGCAUCUUAUACUGUUAAACUUGAGUACUGUAGAGGGUAGUGGAAUUUCCGGUGUAGCGGUGAAAUGCGUAGAGAUCGGAAGGAACACCAGUGGCGAAGGCGGCUACCUGGACAGAUACUGACACUGAGGCGCGAGAGCGUGGGGAGCAAACAGG